rnacentral:lncRNA from 12 species
GCUGCUUUGUCUCCGCAGCAGCUGGGCGGGCAGGAUGCUCCCCAAGAGCUGCUUCUAGAUGUGGAGGCGAGGCCAAGGGGCUGUGACACGGUACACAGGAGGUCCCAUGGGCCAUCCGGGAGAGGCCGUCCAGCCGGCCUGUGUAUAAAGCAUCUAAAGUUCUGGAGAGAGGCCAGGGCGGGAGACAAUGAUUUGGGAAUCAUCCAUGUGCACGUGGUGCUUAAAACCAUGGACAAAUAUGUUGAGUGUAAACUGCAGUGACCUGAGGACAGUGCUGCAGGGACAGAGGAGGAGAAGCCUAUGGAAGAGCAGGAAAGGUCGGGGAGAUCACGGAAAACCUGGAAAUUGUGGCUCCCUAGGAGCCAAAGAGGUAGCGCGACCAGGAGGUAGGUGUGCUGUUACAUCUUGUGCCACAGGAAAGCCCCAGCUUUGGCCACCAGGAGCCGUGGGCACCACGGGCGAGAGGAAGUUUGGCAGAACCACGCUGGUGGCCAGAAAAAAGGGCUGAGGUCUGAACAGGAAGGAAGAAAGUGGAUGGAAGAGUACAGCCCGCAUAGGCACCAAGGCUGCCCUCGACCAGGAUGAGGCCAACAAAGAGAGAGUUUUGUCAUUCUGUGAGGUUGGUGAAGAAGCCGGAAACUCCCUCCCUCCUGGAGAAGCUGGAAGAAGUCAAGCAGUUCCCAUCCCGUCCGCCGGCAGCCAGGGCUCCGACCUGCAUGGUGGGCGCAGUCGUUCAGAUGCCUCGGUCUGGAACUCUAAAUCUAGAGCAAGUGACACAAAGACAGGGGGAUGGCCGAGAUGAUCCCAGCCGCAGUCUGAGUGGCAGCAGCAGUGCCAGCCCCCGGUCACAAUCCGACGGUUCCUGGGGCGAGGCCAGGCUGUGUUCUCAGCUGCCCAGUCUACAUCCGUUCCUGCCCAUUUUCCACACCUGCUUCUUUAACCUUCCUGUCGAUUCUGUAAGCCACCCAAUAGCCUUUCAGUAACUUCCUAUUUUCUUUAAGUCAACCAGAGUUGGUGCCCCUUUAUUUGUAACCAAGAACUCCGACCAGAACUAAUCACGGCAAAUUACUGAGCAGCUAUGAGCCGGGAAUUAUCCUAAGCCUUUACGUGGGGUAUCUCGCUUAAACUUCCUACAACCCUAGGAGAAUGGAACAUGUUAUUCCCAUUUGACAAAUGAGAACACUGAGGCUGGCUAAGGUUAACUAACGUAUUCAAGGUCAACACUUAGGACAGAGGCGAGUGUCAAGAUCAGAUCAGAGAGACUCUUCCUCCUACUCAGCUCCCAAGCAUCUGUGGAUCAGUUUACUAGUUACUCAAAGUAUCUAUAGCUUGUCCCAGGUAAUCCUCACAAGUCCUUCGGGUUGGAAUUUUUAAUUCCAAUUUUACAAAUGAGGAAACCGAGACUCAGAAGCAUUAAAAGUGACUUGCUCAAAUAUUUAUCGUAAGCUUUGAAACUGCACAUCCUCUUUGAUCCAACAAUUCCAGGUCCGAGCACUUAUCCCAAAGAAAUAAUCAGAGGCGUGACCAGAGAUCAUUCAUUGGGUUGUCGUUUAUUACAGGGAAAAAUUAAACACCGUCCUUAAGGUCCAACAGUCAGGCAACAGCCAAACAAAUUAGGGCAUCCCAUAUGAUGGAACCUUACGUGGUCAUUAAAAAUCAGGCUGUAGAAGCAAAUGAGGAGUUGUCUAGGCCUGAGGGUAACAUCAGGGUUGACUUCAAAAGGGUGUUCAGGAACUAUUGAGAGUGAUGGAAAUGUUUCAAAUCUCGACUAUGGUAAUGGUUACACAAGUGUACGCAGUUGUCAAAACUCACCAAACUACACACUUAAAAUGGGGGCAUUUAUUGUACAUGAACUAUACCUCAACAAUUAAAAAAAAUCCUGUAGAAACCAUUUUAUCAAAGAUAAUAUUCACAAAAUAUUAAGUGAAAGAUUACAAUAAAUAAUUAUAGUAUAUUUAUUUCCA